rnacentral:tRNA from 1 species
AUGAAAAAUCAUCGUUGUAUUUCAACUAUAAGAAC